rnacentral:rRNA from 1 species
GACGAACGCUGGCGGCGUGCUUAACACAUGCAAGUCGAACGAAGAGCGAUGGAAGCUUGCUUCUAUCAAUCUUAGUGGCGAACGGGUGAGUAACGCGUAAUCAACCUGCCCUUCAGAGGGGGACAACAGUUGGAAACGACUGCUAAUACCGCAUACGAUCUAAUCUCGGCAUCGAGGAUAGAUGAAAGGUGGCCUCUACAUGUAAGCUAUCACUGAAGGAGGGGAUUGCGUCUGAUUAGCUAGUUGGAGGGGUAACGGCCCACCAAGGCGAUGAUCAGUAGCCGGUCUGAGAGGAUGAACGGCCACAUUGGGACUGAGACACGGCCCAGACUCCUACGGGAGGCAGCAGUGGGGAAUCUUCCGCAAUGGACGAAAGUCUGACGGAGCAACGCCGCGUGAGUGAUGACGGCCUUCGGGUUGUAAAGCUCUGUUAAUCGGGACGAAAGGCCUUCUUGCGAAUAGUGAGAAGGAUUGCCGGUACCGGAAUAGAAAGCCACGGCUAACUACGUG